UAUAGGGUUGAGUCCUGGACAGGUGGUGGAAACUACCAAGUUGGAGUAUGGUAGGGGCAGAAGGAAUUUUCGGUGGAGCAGUGAAAUGCGUAGAGAUCGGAAAGAACACCAACGACGAAAGCACACUGCUGGGCCGACACUGACACUAAGAGACGAAAGCUAGGGGAGCGAAUGAGGUUAGAUGACCCAGUAGUCCUGGAGACACAAGAGUUUUUUUUUUUGGUCUCCCAAGGUAUUCACUAAAGUGAGUCCAAUAAUC
rfam:Gossypium raimondii Chr07_contig_1018, whole genome shotgun sequence.